rnacentral:rRNA from 1 species
UGGUGGAACGAGGGCUUAACUGUCUCCCCCUUCUAGUCAAUGAAAUUGAUCUACCCGUGCAGAAGCGGGUAUAAUAAUGCAAGACGAGAAGACCCUUUGGAGCUUAAGAUAAAAAACCAACUAUGUCAAAAGUCCUAAAAAAGACUAAACCAAAUAGUACUGGUCCUAAUCUUCGGUUGGGGUGACCACGGGAGAAAACAAAGCUCCCAUGCGGAUUGGGAUAAUUCCCUAAAACUAAGAGAGACAUCUCUAAGACGCAGAACAUCUGACCAUAAAGAUCCGGCUACAUGCCGACCAACGGGACCAAGUUACCCUAGGGGAUAACAGCGCAAUCCCCUUCCAGAGUCCAUAUCGACAAGGGGGUUUACGACCUCGAUGUUGGAUCAGGACAUCCU